GACGAACGCUGGCGGCGUGCCUAAUACAUGCAAGUAGAACGCUGAAGGAGGAGCUUGCUUCUCUGGAUGAGUUGCGAACGGGUGAGUAACGCGUAGGUAACCUGCCUGGUAGCGGGGGAUAACUAUUGGAAACGAUAGCUAAUACCGCAUAAUAGCAGUUAUUGCAUGAUAACUGUUUGAAAGGUGCAAUUGCACCACUACCAGAUGGACCUGCGUUGUAUUAGCUAGUUGGUGGGGUAACGGCUCACCAAGGCGACGAUACAUAGCCGACCUGAGAGGGUGAUCGGCCACACUGGGACUGAGACACGGCCCAGACUCCUACGGGAGGCAGCAGUAGGGAAUCUUCGGCAAUGGACGGAAGUCUGACCGAGCAACGCCGCGUGAGUGAAGAAGGUUUUCGGAUCGUAAAGCUCUGUUGUAAGAGAAGAGCGAGUGUGAGAGUGGAAAGUUCACACUGUGACGGUAUCUUACCAGAAAGGGACGGCUAACUACGUG
rnacentral:rRNA from 1 species